UAUCAAAAACAUAGCUUCUAGCACACCAAACAUUAGAAGUAACGCCUGCCCUGUGGAAACCCUAAACGGCCGCGGCACUAAAACCGUGCAAAGGUAGCACAAUCACUUGUCCAUUAAAUGAGGACCCGUAUGAAAGGCAACAUGAGAGAAAACCUGUCUCCUAAGGCCCGCCAAUGAAAUUGUACUACCAGUACAAAAACUGAUAUCUCAAAGCAAGACAAAAAGACCCUGUGGAACUUUUAACAAAUUGUUUAAACACAUAAACAACAGUUUCAGUUGGGACAACUUUAGAAAAAAUAAACUUCUUAAUUUACCAAGACAAACAAGUCUAAGACAACACAGAUCCAGUAAUACUGAUUAACGAAACAAGCUACCCCAGGGAUAACAGCGCCACCUUCUCAAAGAGUCCAUAUCAACAAGAAGAUCUACGACCUCGAUGUUGGAUCAGGGUACCCAGACGGUGCAACAGCUGUCAAUGGUUCGUUUGUUCAACGAUUAAUACCCUACGUGAUCUGAGUU
rnacentral:rRNA from 1 species